UACGGAGGAUACAAGCGUUAUCCGGAAUGAUUGGGCGUAAAGCGUCCGCAGGUGGCUGUGUAAGUCUGCUGUCAAAGAGCAAAGCUCAACUUUGUAAAGGCAGUGGAAACUACACGGCUAGAGUGCGUUCGGGGCAGAGGGAAUUCCUGGUGUAGCGGUGAAAUGCGUAGAGAUCAGGAAGAACACCGGUGGCGAAGGCGCUCUGCUAGGCCGCAACUGACACUGAGGGACGAAAGCUAGGGGAGCGAAUGGG
rnacentral:rRNA from 1 species